AUUCCAGCUCCAAAAGCGUAUAUUAAAGUUGUUGCAGUUAAAACGCUCGUAGUCGGAUUUCGGGGCGAGCCUGCCGGUCUGCCGAUGGGUAUGCACUGGCAGGGUCGUCCUUCCUUCCGGAGACUGUCCCUACUCUUAACUGAGCGGGGUCGGGAGACGGAUCGUUUACUUUGAAAAAAUCAGAGUGUUUCAAGCAGGCAGCUCGCUCUUGCAUGGAUUAGCAUGGGAUAAUGAAAUAGGACUUUGGUGCUAUUUUGUUGGUUUCGAACACCGAAGUAAUGAUUAAAAGGGACAGUCAGGGGCACUCGUAUUCCGCCGAGAGAGGUGAAAUUCUCAGACCAGCGGAAGACGAACCACUGCGAAAGCAUUUGCCAGGGAUGUUUUCAUCG
rnacentral:rRNA from 1 species